rnacentral:rRNA from 1 species
GAUGAACGCUAGCGAUAGGCUUAACACAUGCAAGUCGAGGGGCAGCACGGACUAGCAAUAGUUUGGUGGCGACCGGCGCACGGGUGCGUAACACGUAUGCAACCUUCCCAUAAGCGGGGGAUAACCCGGAGAAAUUCGGACUAAUACCGCAUAACAUAUAAUAGUGGCAUCACUAUUAUCUUAAAGAUUUAUCACUUAUGGAUGGGCAUGCGCAUGAUUAGCUAGUUGGUAGGGUAAUGGCUUACCAAGGCAACGAUCAUUAGGGGUUCUGAGAGGAAGGUCCCCCACACUGGUACUGAGACACGGACCAGACUCCUACGGGAGGCAGCAGUGAGGAAUAUUGGUCAAUGGGCGAGAGCCUGAACCAGCCAAGUCGCGUGAAGGAAGACUGUCCUAUGGAUUGUAAACUUCUUUUAUACAGGAAUAAAGUGGGUUACGUGUAACCUUUUGCAUGUACUGUAUGAAUAAGGAUCGGCUAACUCCGUG